AGUGAACGCUGGCGGUAGGCCUAACACAUGCAAGUCGAACGGCAGCACAGUAAGAGCUUGCUCUUACGGGUGGCGAGUGGCGGACGGGUGAGGAAUACAUCGGAAUCUACUUUUUCGUGGGGGAUAACGUAGGGAAACUUACGCUAAUACCGCAUACGACCUACGGGUGAAAGCAGGGGAUAUUCGGACCUUGCGCGAUUGAAUGAGCCGAUGUCGGAUUAGCUAGUUGGCGGGGUAAAGGCUUACCAAGGCGACGAUCCGUAGCUGGUCUGAGAGGAUGAUCAGCCACACUGGAACUGAGACACGGUCCAGACUCCUACGGGAGGCAGCAGUGGGGAAUAUUGGACAAUGGGCGCAAGCCUGAUCCAGCCAUACCGCGUGGGUGAAGAAGGCCUUCGGGUUGUAAAGCCCUUUUGUUGGGAAAGAAAAGCAGCAGGUUAAUACCCCGCUGUUCUGACGGUACCCAAAGAAUAAGCACCGGCUAACUUCGUG
rnacentral:rRNA from 1 species